AUUGAACGCUGGCGGCAGGCCUAACACAUGCAAGUCGAACGAGUGGCGGACGGGUGAGUAAUGUCUGGGAAACUGCCUGAUGGAGGGGGAUAACUACUGGAAACGGUAGCUAAUACCGCAUACCAUCAGAUGUGCCCAGAUGGGAUUAGCUAGUAGGUGGGGUAAAGGCUCACCUAGGCGACGAUCCCUAGCUGGUCUGAGAGGAUGACCAUCCACACUGGAACUGAGACACGGUACAGAUUCCUACGGGAGGCAGCAGUGGGGAAUAUUGCACAAUGGGCGCAAGCCUGAUGAAGCCAUGACGCGUGUGUGAAGAAGGCCUUCGGGUUGUAAAGUACUUUCAGCGAGGAGGCGUUACCCGCAGAAGAAGCACCGGCUAACUCCGUGCCAGCAGCCGCGGUAAUAC
rnacentral:rRNA from 1 species